AAUUCUCAAACCCAUCAGCUUUUGUUGUUGGGCUUUGGAUGUGGAGGCUUUGUUGGCCUGUGUUGUAGGUCAGCUCCUCUAAAAUACAUUAGCGGAACCGGUUGCAAUCCGUCACAGGUGUGAUAAUUAUCUAUGCCAGUGGGUUGCUCUCUGUCUUGUUCAGCUGCAAACUGUCCCAUUGGGACAACCAUUACUGAAU
rnacentral:misc_RNA from 1 species